CCUCAGCACUGACAGAAAGAGGGUCCAGGUAGAAAGAGCAGGGUCACCUGUACCCAGCUGUCUGUCUAUGAAGAGUGAUCCCUCAAUGGAACCUCCACUCAAGCUCAGACGAGAGGUCACAGGGGAUCAAAGGGUCCAGGUAGAAAGAGCAGGGUCACCUGUACCCAGCUGUCUGUCUAUGAAGAGUGAUCGUUCAAUGGAUCUUCCACUCAGAUUCAGAGGAGAGUUCACAGGUGAU